AGUAACAUGACGAUAAGAAUGCCACUCAAUCAUCAACAAAGUAGUCGUGUUAAAGCGACUUAUCCUGUCAUGUAUACAUUUCCCUGAAAUCGCCAGCCUUAAAGGGAUGCGACCCGAGCUACUCAGCCAGCGAAAAGUAAUUGUAACCCGAUCCUGUGUCGCUGGAUGUACAUAAAUACCAGUUCCAGUUUCCGUCGAUCGCGUCCAAGUUCAUUGGGAGUAUGGAGUAUGGAGUGUGGAGUUUGGAGUGGGGAAUGGGCGAUGUCCGGCCUGACGUUUAUGAAAAGCCAUCGCAGCAUCAAAGCCAAUUAAGAUACCGGGGCACAUACAAGCCCUAAAGGAAUACGCGGCUAAUUUCUGCGACAAAGCCGACAAACGAUCGAGUUCGAGUUCGAGUUGGAGUCUUGGGGCACAAGAAGCGGCACUUUUGUCGCAACACACAGGCCGUAAAAUUAAGAACUCUGAUUGGUAACAAAUGUU
rnacentral:sRNA from 1 species